GACACUUUGGCCGAGUGGUUAAGGCGAUGCCCUGCUAAAUAUGGCAACUGGGAGGCAUUGGGGUUUCCCCGCGUGUGUUCGAAUCGCACAGGUGUCG